rnacentral:lncRNA from 1 species
CGGUGGAAAAGCUAGGGUUGGGGGUUUGUGAGGUUUAAAUCGGUGAAAAGAAAGAUUUCACCGAUUGAAUCGGUGGAAUGUAAAGGAUCUCGGUUUUUAAUCGGUCAAAGUGAAGAUAGGGUUCGGUGAGGGUGAGAUUUCGAGAGGAAAUGUAAGGAAGAUGACGAAUAUGUGAAAAUCAAGGUGCUUAUAGUGGCAAACUCUCUCGAGAGUGUUCAUGGACACAGAUCUGUGGAGGAUUUGGUCGAGGGAAUAAGCAGUGGUGGUGGAUGAAGCUCUUCGGAGUGAAAACCUAAGAAGAGCGUUGCGACUCGAGAAAGGAAUGAGAUGAGGCUUUGUGCGAUUGAAAUGAAGGCGUGACUGAUGUGGAAAUUUGUGGCUGACGUGUGCAAAGGCAGAUAUGAUCCAACGAAUGAUAGGCGGAUCUGACGCGUGUGCGAGGAUGUGGAGGAGUGAGAAUCUGAAUUUUUAAAAAUGAAUAAUGGUAAGUGAAAGUGGAAGGUGGUUGAGGGAAUCCCUUGGAUUCUUCAGCCUUGACUUUCAAGGGGACUAAAUCUGGAGUUCUCUCAACAGAACUUUAAUCCAAUAUCUCAAAAGUGAAUACAAGAAGUGUCGGCAUGGCUAUUUAUAGGACUAAAAGUCCCACAUGCCUAACACAAUACAAAGUACAUUAAAGAAAUGCUAGACUAAAGAAAUUGGGUCUUGACCCUGCGUAUCAAGUUGGCACCCAAGGAGAUUGGUAAACGUACUUAUUUGCCUCCUGCAUGUUACACAAUGUCCUGACAAGAGAAGAU